UUACUAGGGAAGGGCCCAGACAGAAGUCUAUUUAAGACUCCCCAGUUGGUGAUAGCAUGCAUCCAGUUUGACGUAUUGCCUUAAAGCUACUGACCUUGAAAACUUCCAGAAAGGCCAAGCGAGAAACCACUGCUUCCAAAGAUGUUGAACUAUCCUUGAAUCCCUGGAAUAAAUCCCACUUCAUUACACUUCAUCCAUGCCUUGGACAUCCAAGAAGUAAAGAGUGCAGACAGGCCAGUGCAAAGACGUAUGUUUUACAGUUCACUUCUACAACCCUAUGAAGUUAUUCACCUUGUGAAGAAGCACUGGAGAUUUCCUAAUAUGAACCAUUAAGGCAACUGCCACAAAGAGAGAUGGGUGGGAGAAGAGGGUUCUAGAAGCUGAGUGCUUUUUCCUGUGUUCCACGUGCUCUCCACCACCUCCAGAUUUCACCCCCUGCUUCACUGAUAGAUUUGCUGCCUGUGGCUUUGGCAAACUUCUUUUUAUUUUCAUAUCAGUGUUGUAAUAAAAGUUUAGCAUUUUUGAUUUGCUGAUCACAUUCUUCCUUGUGACAAUGGCCAAUAUUUGAUUGUCUCCAUUAUACUGGUUUCACUGUGUAUGCCCUGAAAGAUACAGGAUGAAUGUCACAAAUCAUGUUCUUUUUUUCUUUUAAGUGUUUUUCAGUUUGGAGCAAUAAAGCCUUCAUUCUUCAAGUGA